AGAUUUUUCUAUCCUGUCGCUGCAAUGGUAUCAGCACUACUACAAUACUAAAAUAAAUGAUGCCUCCCUUUCAUCGUGACCUUAGAAGAUAAGGUGAAGUUUCACAAAGAGGGAAAACCUCUACACCGCUUUUCUUAAACACGCCUGCCAGGAAGAUAUCGCUGUAAUUAAUCAUAGAACACGAAGGAGACACUAAGGCACGGAACGUAAGCUACGUAGAACGACCAGAGUAUUAAGAAAAUAAAAAAACGAAAGAAAUUUCCCGGCGACUUUUAGGAAAUAAAUACGAAAAAAAUUCAAAUAAAUUAUGAAGUCGUUGAGUUAAAAAUAGACGGCUUCUAGAGUUUUAAUUUUUGAUAUGAAUAUAUUCCGAGUCGAGAUUGUUUUGAAACUUAAGGAUAACUAAGGACACUGAUGCAUAUUCAACAAUGGCGUGAAGGUUUUCACGGCACAGAAGACAGUUUUCGUAUGGCGACGUCUACCACUAAUCUACCGGAUAUUGUUAACGAAACUUCAAAUGUGACACAUGAAGAUAUUCCGGGUUACAACCAAGUUGAAAGUAUAGUGAUCUCUCUCAUUCUGGUUUCUAUUAUUAUUGGGACUAUCGUUGGUAACAUCCUAGUGUGCGUGGCAGUCUGUCUUGUGCGAAAGCUCAGAAGGCCUUGUAAUUAUCUGCUGGUAAGCCUUGCAGUGAGUGACCUUUGUGUUGCCAUCUUGGUAAUGCCGAUGGCCACCUUCUACGAAAUUAAUGGCAAAUGGAUCUUCGGAGAGAUAAUGUGCAACUUGUGGGUCAGCUUCGAUGUGCUCAGUUGCACAGCUUCCAUAUUGAAUCUUUGUAUGAUCAGCGUGGAUCGGUACUACGCUAUAACGAAACCCCUCGAAUACGGGGUAAAAAGGACUCCAAAGCGGAUGAUUUUGUGGGUGAUAUUAGUUUGGUGUUUCGCGGCGUGUAUUUCUCUACCUCCGUUACUAAUUUUGGGAAACGAACAUUCUGAAAUCGGGGAAAACGGAGAGAAAAACUCAAACGUGUGUUUAGUGUCACAAGAUUUUGGAUACCAAUUGUACGCAACCAUGUGUAGUUUCUACAUACCUCUAACUGUGAUGAUGGUAGUUUAUUACAAGAUAUUUCGAGCCGCUCGUCGGAUAGUCAAUGAAGAAAAACGGGCCCAGAGCCACCUAGAAAGCCACUGUUAUUUAGAGAUUAGUGUAAAAAAUGGUGGAGGGCCCCCAGAAAACAAGAUCUCUAGUCAAAGUCCUUCGCCAGCGAAUCCAGCGAGGGUAAACCAUCGGUCAAGUUCAGCGAGCACGAAUACAAUGUGCAGCCUCGAUAAAACGGCUCUAGGUAGGUGCUUCAAAUCUCGUCACAGCAACGAAUCCCAGUGCCCGAUGCUUUCUAACAAACACCCGACUUCUAAGCACUCAAGGGACCACCAAAAGCAUCACAAGUCAACAUUACUAAAUACAUUAAAAACGUCCCCAAGUACCACUAGUCAUCAAAAGAAGCUGCGCUUCCAAUUGGCCAAAGAAAGAAAGGCCAGUACGACAUUAGGUAUAAUAAUGAGUGCUUUCACCUUUUGCUGGCUGCCGUUUUUUGUUCUGGCCCUCGUGAGGCCAUUUCUGGAAACAACCAACGCUUUGAAGACGCUAGCAACUUUGUUCCUAUGGUUGGGUUAUGCCAACAGCUUGCUUAAUCCUAUAAUUUAUGCUACCCUGAAUAGGGACUUUAGGAAACCUUUUCAAGCUAUUUUAUACUGUCGAUGUGGCAGCUUAAAUCACAUGAUGCGCGAAGAAUUCUACCAUAGUCAGUACGGCGAUCCCGACCAUCAUAUAAACAGGUGCCACAUGGACUACGAAGAAGGCGUCGAAUAUAUCGAAGCCGACGGUGACGAAGUUAAAGUACCUGAGUCAGAUGCAGCGGCACACGAAUCAUUUCUAUGAUUUUCGAUCGAACAAUAUAGUUUUUGGUUUGAGACGUACAAAGACGGCAGCCGUACAGGACUUGCUUGAGUUGUUGGUUCUCUAUUGAAGGCUAGUGAAUCAAAUUCUUCGAUAUCAGAGACGAACAUUACCUAAAUCAUACAAAAUGCUGAAUAGCGAAUCUACGUUUUUAAUAGUUACCAAAUAAAAGGUAUUUAAAUAUAGUCAUUCUACAUCAUUGAACCACUUGGCUUAACUUCUUCAUACUAGUAUUAAAAUUUUCGUGAUUAUUGUGAACACAUAGUAGAUGUAAUGUUGUAGCAUGACAUUGAUCCAUAAAAAAUAUGUAUUGUUCUUUUCAUGAUCAUUUUUCAGUGCGUAACAAAUGAUAGGAAAAAGGGUAAAUCCGUGAUAAUACACAUUUAUGACAUUUAUUCUAACAUGA
rnacentral:misc_RNA from 1 species